AAUGGUGUGCAUGAUUGAACUUUUUUCCCCAUCAGAUCGACCAUGUUGAUCCUAACUAUUUUUGCCAGUUUUUUCUGACACACCAGC
rnacentral:snoRNA from 1 species